UGUGGUCCUACAGGCCAGGUGACCUCUGACAGCAUGACAGUCACACCAGUGGAGAGUUCAGCACCAGCAGGGACCAAACAGUCCAUUUCCCAGCCGUCCUCACAGAAAGUAUCCGACCCGAGGUUCGAUGCUCCUAAGCCGUCCCAGAAGAAGAAGAGCCGGAAAGAGACAGGAAGUUAAGAAACAAGAACCAACAUGAAUUAUUAUGCAAAAGGAUUGUUCGAUGUGUUAUAAAUGCAAUCAAUAAUUUGCAAGUACAGACUUUUAUACACAAUAGUUUGACUGUACUUUUUAAAUAUCCCAAAAAAAGAGAGAGAACAGCUUAUUUAGCUGGGGACUGGGGACUGGUCCUAUCAGCCUAAUCUAACCUAUUUACACUAAAUGCUACACUGAAGUGGAAUAGGAGGUUUAGGAGGGAGGUUGUUAACUUGCGGUGAGGUAGAAGUUUGUGAAUUAUUCAAAAGUAGCCUGUGUACCGGAGUCCUAGCUAGCUAGCCGGUACAGUGUCGCCCCACCUUCCACCUGUGUACCGGAGUCCUAGCUAGCUAGCUGGUACAGUGUCGCCCCACCUUCCACCUGUGUACCGGAGUCCUAGCUAGCUAGCUGGUACAGUGUCGCCCCACCUUCCACCUGUGUACCGGAGUCCUAGCUAGCUAGCUGGUACAGUGUCGCCCCACCUUCCACCUGUGUACCGGAGUCCUAGCUAGCUAGCUAGUAAAGUGUUACCCCCCACCUCCUGCCUGUGUACCGGAGUCCGAGCUAGCUAGCUGGUACAGUGUCGCCCCCCAUCUCCUGCCUGUGUACCGGAGUCCUAGCUAGCUAACUCGUACAGUGUCGCCCCCCCACCUCCUGCCUGUUUACCGGAGUCCUAGCUAGCUAGCUCGUACAGUGUCGCCCCCCACCUCCUGCCUGUGUCCCGGAGUCCUAGCUAGCUGGUACAGUGUGCCCCCCCACCUCCUGCCUGUGUACCGGAGUCCUAGCUAGCUAGCUCGUACAGUGUUGCCCCCCCCACCUCCCGCCUGUGUACCGGGGUCCUAGCUAGCUAGCUCGUACAGUGUUACCCCCACCUCCUGCCUGUGUACCGGAGUCCUAGCUAGCUAGCUCGUACAGUGUUGCCCCCCCCACCUCCCGCCUGUGUACCGGGGUCCUAGCUUAAAUAUGGACCAAUUGAAGUAUAAAGAGGGGUGAAGAUAUGAAGUACUUAGACACCAGUAGAGACAGUAUGAGACAUGAAGUACUUCCAGACACCAGUAGAGACAGUAUAAGACAUGAAGUACUUCCAGACACCAGUAGGGACAGUAUGAGACAUUAAGUACUUCCAGACACCAGUAGGGACAGUAUGAGACAUGAAGUACUUCCAGACACCAGUAGAGACAGUAUGAGACAUUAAGUACUUCCAGACACCAGUAGGGACAGUAUGACAGGAAGUACUUCCAGACACCAGUAGAGACAGUAUGAGACAUUAAGUACUUCCAGACACCAGUAGAGACAGUAUGAGACAUUAAGUACUUCCAGACACCAGUAGAGACAGUAUGAGACAGGAAGUACUUCGACACCAGUAGGGACAGUAUGAGACAUUAAGUACUUCCAGACACCAGUAGAGACAGUAUGAGACAUUAAGUACUUCCAGACACCAGUAGAGACAGUAUGAGACAUUAAGUACUUCCAGACACCAGUAGAGACAGUAUGAGACAUUAAGUACUUCCAGACACCAGUAGGGACAGUAUGAGACAUGAAGUACUUCCAGACACCAGUAGAGACAGUAUGAGACAUGAAGUACUUCCAGACACCAGUAGAGACAGUAUGAGACAUGAAGUACUUCCAGACACCAGUAGGGACAGUAUGAGACAUGAAGUACUUCCAGACACCAGUAGAGACAGUAUGAGACAUGAAGUACUUCCAGACACCAGUAGAGACAGUAUGAGACAUUAAGUACUUCCAGACACCAGUAGAGACAGUAUGAGACAUGAAGUACUUCCAGACACCAGUAGAGACAGUAUGAGACAUUAAGUACUUCCAGACACCAGUAGAGACAGUAUGAGACAUGAAGUACUUCCAGACACCAGUAGAGACAGUAUGAGACAUUAAGUACUUCCAGACACCAGUAGAGACAGUAUGAGACAUGAAGUACUUCCAGACACCAGUAGAGACAGUAUGAGACAUGAAGUACUUCCAGACACCAGUAGGGACAGUAUGAGACAUGAAGUACUUCCAGACACCAGUAGAGACAGUAUGAGACAUGAAGUACUUCCAGACACCAGUAGAGACAGUAUGAGACAUUAAGUACUUCCAGACACCAGUAGAGACAGUAUGAGACAUGAAGUACUUCCAGACACCAGUAGAGACAGUAUGAGACAUUAAGUACUUCCAGACACCAGUAGAGACAGUAUGAGACAUGAAGUACUUCCAGACACCAGUAGAGACAGUAUGAGACAUGAAGUACUUCCAGACACCAGUAGAGACAGUAUGAGACAUGAAGUACUUCCAGACACCAGUAGAGACAGUAUGAGACAUUAAGUACUUCCAGACACCAGUAGAGACAGUAUGAGACAUGAAGUACUUCCAGACACCAGUAGAGACAGUAUGAGACAUUAAGUACUUCCAGACACCAGUAGAGACAGUAUGAGACAUGAAGUACUUCCAGACACCAGUAGAGACAGUAUGAGACAUUAAGUACUUCCAGACACCAGUAUGAGACAGGAAGUACUUAGACACCAGUAGUAUUGUGCUCUGCUGUGUAUGAGAGGGUUCUUAUCUUAACCUCUUUUCUUCCAUCCUAUCUGGUGGGAAAAGACCGUGCCAUAUGUACAGAACACAAGGGCUUUUCCUAAUGUGUCAUUUUUCUGGGAUUGAUUGCACUGUCAGGCUGGAUCCUAUAUGUUAUCUUUGUCUUUUCAUGAUUGUUUUUUAAAAAGACCGUUUAGCAGAAUGUGAAGGUAAAAUUCCUGGUUGUGACUUUAGUUGGAAGUCAAUGUGCUGAUAAGGGAUGGGGAGGCUGGGGUGGGGAGGUACUGAAGAUGAGACGGUGUGUGAAGCAGCUUUAAUUCCAUGUCAGUCAUUUUAAAGGUAUCAGGAACUGAAUUGUAUUGCCUUAACCUGUAGUAUAUUAGUAUGUGCAUUUAUUUACAUCUCUUUUGUGAUAGUUUUCAGAUCAAGGGCUGGAGAGUUACCGCAUCCAUCCUAUUGCAAGUUUGGUUCUAAAAAAAAUGCAUUUAGUCUCUUGACUGACGACCGUACUCAUACAGUAUGAUUUAAAGAAUGGGCGGGUUACUACUUCUGAUUGGUACUUUAUCACUCACUGUAUAUAGCCUUGAAUGAGCGGAAGGACUGGGCUUGAGGGCUGACAGCCUGCCUACGCUUUAGCUGAAAUCAAAUGGACUGUAUUAUUGGUAGCUUUUGAGUGUGUAAAGAAGAGCGUUGCCGAAUGGAGGCUCUCAGCUCAGUGUUUUACAGCCCAUAGUUCUCUGUAGACUAGAUCAGUCAAGUCUGGUGGCGCUGCACUCACCUGACUCUCUCUGUUGAUCAUUAACCUUUUUAAAAGAUGAUUCAAUCAUGUAUUUAUACCUUCUCCUUUAGAAGAAUGAUUUAAGAAUGAUUUUGUUUAUGAAGAAAUGCAAUGAUUUUUCAAGGUUUGUUGAAAUAAAACAAUAUAACUCCUAA